CGAUGAACGCUGGCGGCGUGCUUAACACAUGCAAGUCCAACGGUGAAGCAGGAGCUUGCUCCUGUGGAUCAGUGGCGAACGGGUGAGUAACACGUGAGCAAUCUGCCCUGGACUCCGGGAUAAGCGUUGGAAACGACGUCUAAUACCGGAUACGAGGCGUGGGGGCAUCCCCAACGCCUGGAAAGAACUUCGGUCCAGGAUGAGCUCGCGGCCUAUCAGGUAGUUGGUGAGGUAACGGCUCACCAAGCCUACGACGGGUAGCCGGCCUGAGAGGGUGACCGGCCACACUGGGACUGAGACACGGCCCAGACUCCUACGGGAGGCAGCAGUGGGGAAUAUUGCACAAUGGGCGCAAGCCUGAUGCAGCAACGCCGCGUGAGGGACGACGGCCUUCGGGUUGUAAACCUCUUUUAGCAGGGAAGAAGCGAAAGUGACGGUACCUGCAGAAAAAGCACCGGCUAACUACGUGCCAGCAGCCGCGGUAAUACGUAGGGUGCAAGCGUUAUCCGGAAUUAUUGGGCGUAAAGAGCUCGUAGGCGGUCUGUCGCGUCUGCUGUGAAAACCCGAGGCUCAACCUCGGGCCUGCAGUGGGUACGGCAGACUAGAGUGCGGUAGGGGAGAUUGGAAUUCCUGGUGUAGCGGUGGAAUGCGCAGAUAUCAAGGAGGAACCACCGAUGGCGAAAGGCAGAAUUCUCUUGGGCCGUUAACUGACGCUUGGAGGGAGCGAAAGCGUGUGGGGGAGCCGAAACAAGG
rnacentral:rRNA from 1 species